rnacentral:rRNA from 1 species
CCUACGGGAGGCAGCAGUGAGGAAUAUUGGUCAAUGGGCGCGAGCCUGAACCAGCCAAGUAGCGUGAAGGAUGACUGCCCUACGGGUUGUAACCUUCUUUUAUAAAGGAAUAAAGUGAGGCACGUGUGCCUUUUUGUAUGUACUUUAUGAAUAAGGAUCGGCUAAAUCCGUGCCAGCAGCCGCGGUAAUACGGAGGAUCCGAGCGUUAUCCGGAUUUAUUGGGUUUAAGGGGAGCGUAGAUGGGUUGUUAAGUCAGUUGUGAAAGUUUGCGGCGCAACCGUAAAAUUGCAAUUGAUACUGGCAGUCUUGAAUACAGAUGAGGUAGGCGGAAUGCGUGGUGUAGCGGUGAAAUGCUUAGAUAUCACGAAGAACACCGAUUGCGAAGGCAGCUCACGAAACUGCCACUGACAUUGAUGCUCGAAAGUGUGGGUAUCAAACAGGAUUAGAUACCCCAGUAGUC